GUUUCCGUAGGUGAACCUGCUGCUGGAUCAUUACGCAACGAGUUUUUCGAACUCCCAUUUUGACAAGCUGUCUAAAAUCGAUAUGAGAUUUGGUUGUGGAUGGCCAGUGUUUCCUUGGGAUGGCAGGGAAAUGCUGAACGGCUAACGCUGGUGUCUAUGUGCCGCUGAGCAGUCGUUUUCGUCCGUGGCUGUGAUGAGGUGGUGCGGUAGUGCCUGAGGCACUGUGCGAAGUGUCCGGUUUAAGACUUAAUGAGCCCGCCCGAAAGGGGACGCCAGCAACCAUUGUUUUUCAAUACAUUUUUAUGAACGAAACACAAAGAAUUCUAGCCUUAUCGGUGGAUCACUCGGCUCGUAGUUCGAUGAAGAACGCAGCCAACAGCGAUAUUUAGUGUGAACUGCAGAAACUUUGAACACAAAGCCUUCGAAUGUACAUGACGCCUGAGGUGUUAAAUCCUCUGGCACGGCUGGUUCAGGGUCGUUAUCCAAACAAGCACUGCCUGUUGUGUCCUUCCAGGCAUAUUCAAAUUGUAUCUGCCCAGAAUGGAAAGGGGCGAUUUGCCUCGGUGCACAAGUCGGAGUCUACGUGAAAGGAGGCAACGGCCGAAUGCCUCGGGCACUUUGACCCUUAUGAGAAAACAUUUCGACCUGAACUCAGGCGUGAGUACCCGCUGAACUUAAGCAUAU
rnacentral:rRNA from 1 species